AAGAACAGAAUAUGAAAACUAAUUUAACUGAGUGAAAAAAGUGUGUGUGGGAAGGCAAGCCAGAAAAGAAGAAUAGAGGCUGCACAAUAAAUGGGCGUGGAAGUUUCACACCGAGUUUCAGUCCAAGCUCUCAGUUCCGUCAUUCAACAACUUAUAUGGCACAGGGAGAGGUCGAGCCUCAGAGCUGUUUGUCUUUUGAACUUCCACUACGACAGCCGUGGUGUUUGGAUGACCACGUGUGGAGAUCCUAACUGAACCUUCAUAUGUAAAAGGAAGAAGCUUCAUGUGGCAGCUCUCACCUUGAGAGUGGAAUUUUGUUGAGGGGACAAGAAGACAAUACACCUGCCUGCCAUCUCAUUAAGACCUUAAUAUCACUCUGAACCACACACUGGACAAACUAAGAGAUUCCUUGUUUCACUGAAGGAGUGUAUCCAGACUGAGGAGCCUUUUAAAUUUGAUCAGAAAUGUCUACAUCACAUCAGAUACAUAUAAAUGUGGGUGAAGAUGUCCCACUGAGUACCAUCCCAGGGUCAAGCAACGCACAAAAAAAUCAAUUAACAAGACAGGGUGCUGCCCCCUGCUGUGGUGACAAAAACCACAGGAAACUUGCCAUCUGCAGCAUUAUCUGUGGGAUCUCGUGCAUCGGAAUCAAGGCUCUGAUAAAUUCAGUCAAGGCUGAGACGACGACAGAUCCAGAGAAAGCUGCAACGUUUUCAAAACGGGCAAAGAAAUUUGGAAUUAUCUCCAUUGUUAUUUGGGUUGCCAUUCUGGCUUUAACUCCCAUACUGAUGGCACUGAUCUCAUAUCUCUUCACUCUGCGAGACUGAUCAACUUUAAUAAACCCCUACAGAAGACAACCAAAGGAGAGACUUUUGGAUGUUUAUGGAGACAGACAGCGGACGGUACAAAGCUGCGUAUCAACUACUAAAAGCCAUAAAGAUGUGAAGAAUAUGGUUGUUACACAAAACACAAAAAGACUGCUUUAGUCUUGUGCUGAUAAAAUGACUGCUGUCCCUGCUUCCACUUUUCUACUUAACCAUUUAUAAUAGUUUUAUACAAGGAACAACCACUCGAGAAAACUAUCAAAAACGUUACAACUUUUACAUGUUUUUAUAUGCUGUAAUAUUUAUUUAACAAUAUAUGAACAUUUAAAAUCUAAACAACCAUAUAAAAUCCAGCAUUAACUAUAGUUUGAGACAUGACACUAUACAUUAUAUAUUAAAGAUCAGAAUUGUCAUUCCCCAGUAAUGACCCAAUCCUUAAUAUUGUUGCACCUUAAAUGCCAUUACAAUUUAACAUACUUAUUCUUAGAUACUGUAUAUACUUCAGAUACUACAAAAGCUAAUAAAUUACCUAAUCUGUAAAUCCAAAAAGUAGCAACAUAAACAUCAAAGAUUGGGUUUCUACUGG